rnacentral:rRNA from 1 species
UAUUGGUCAAUGGGCGGGAGCCUGACCCAGCAACGCCGCGUGAAGGAAGAAGGCUUUCGGGUNGUAAACUUCUUUUGACAGGGAANNGANNNANACGGUACCUGUCGAAUAAGCCACGGCUAACUACGUGNNNGNANCCGCGGUAAUACGUAGGUGGCAAGCGUUGUCCGGAUUUACUGGGUGUAAAGGGCGUGUAGCCGGGCUGACAAGUCAGAUGUGAAAUCCGGGGGCUCAACCCCCGAACUGCAUUUGAAACUGUUGGUCUUGAGUAUCGGAGAGGCAGGCGGAAUUCCUAGUGUAGCGGUGAAAUGCGUAGAUAUUAGGAGGAACACCAGUGGCGAAGGCGGCCUGCUGGACGACAACUGACGGUGAGGCGCGAAAGCGUGGGGAGCAAACAGG